rnacentral:tRNA from 1 species
GUGUAGCCCAGUGGUAGAGUCUGUGCUUAGCAUGCAUUAGGCCCUAGGUUCAAUCCCUAGCAC